CUGGUGUAUAGGGGUGCUAGGAUAAUUUUUUGUUCUAAUAUUUGGUCUUUGAUUCAGGUUCCUGACACAGAGCUCCUAAGACCUUUGUAAUUUUCUGAGUGAUAGGAGCAUCUGGCACAGAGCUCCUACAUUCCUUGGAAUUUCCUGGGUGAGAGCAGUGUCUUUUGUUUUCUGGUUGCCAGGGAACCAACAAUGUGAUUAGAAGAUUGGAACCUUCAGCUCCUGCCCCAAAAUCCCUGGACCUCUGAGGAGAGGAGAGGGGCUGAAGGUUGAGUUGAUCACUGAUGUCAAUGACUUAAUCAAUCUUAUCUAUGUAAUUAUGCCUCCAUAAAAUCCCAAAAUGACUAAUUUCAAAUAACUUCUUGGUUAGUGAAAACAUUUGCAUGCCAGGAGGCGCUCACACUCCAACUCAACAGCAUGGAACAAGUGCCUGUUUCAGUCUCUUAUUUAAGCACCGCAGAUGCGUUGAAACCUAAUAAAAACAGUUCCCUGGCAUAUCAACCCUAACCAGAGAGUAAGAAGCUAAAAAUCUGUGAAUCGCCUACAACCAAAGGGGAGUCUUUUGAGAGCUGCAUUGUUAAAACUCUGAGAACAGGUCAAGAGCUCAGGGUGAUCUUUGAGCUAACGAGGACGCUAGGUGACACCAAGCCCAAACACUCUCUGAGCAAGUGCCUGGUCCUGAGAGGUGAUCGAGGUCACACGACUAUAAGAUAUAGGCAGGAACUGAAAAAUCACAUCUCCAGACUCAUCACUUGCUCUGCAAAGUCAAUGUAACCUAUGGAAAUGGAAUUGCCCUUUUGCACAAUGUCACUGAAGACAUAGUAGAGAAGGAAAGCAAGUGUGAAGCCAAAAGUAUUUGUGAAGUCUGAACUACCUGUUCUGAACUUAAAUUUCAAAAACAUUGUUUGAAGUGACUCUGAUAUUAUUUUUAUUUACUAUAUUAGAAACAGCCCUUUCUUAGUUCAGACUUCCAAGCUAGUCACAUAAAUUAAAGCAGGAUCUCAUGAGGGCUGAUGAGAGAGAGGAGAGAGAGAGAGAGAGAAAAGACAGGUAACUUCAUACAGGCAAGCGGAAGUAUAUGUUUUAAGUAAGACUUUGAGGGGACAUUGCCAGAUUAAAAUUCUUGUCCUUAAUUUUUCAAAUGAUACCCUCCUUAGUAAAUUUAAAUACUAUGCCAACUUCAAUUCAUUCAGAUACAUCACCUACAAUAUUAAUUUAAUUGCUCCUCUAUUCCAUUCUGGUUUCUCUUGU
rnacentral:lncRNA from 1 species